rnacentral:rRNA from 1 species
GACGAAGGGGGCUAGCGUUGCUCGGAAUCACUGGGCGUAAAGCGCACGUAGGCGGACUCUUAAGUCAGGGGUGAAAUCCUGGAGCUCAACUCCAGAACUGCCUUUGAUACUGGGAGCCUUGAGUUCGGGAGAGGUGAGUGGAACUGCGAGUGUAGAGGUGAAAUUCGUAGAUAUUCGCAAGAACACCAGUGGCGAAGGCGGCUCACUGGCCCGAUACUGACGCUGAGGUGCGAAAGCGUGGGGAGCAAACAGG